AAAGUUUCAUUACAAAAUGAAUUAAGGCAUAAAGCCAUUACAUAUACCAGUCAAUAAGCUGGUCAAAAUAAGCAAAUGUCAUCUAAACAUUUACCUAACACCACUAAGUAACCUAGUAAAUUGAUAAACAUAACUUGCACACAUAGUGAAGCUGAUUUAUCAAUCCAUCAGCACCUAAUUACAUCAAAUAUUUUAUCAACUUAGUUCAAAUCUAAAUAAGUAACAAAAUAUUUCCUUGAAGUAACAAAAUCAACAGCAUAGGCUCUAGCUGCAACAUGCAUGGCUCGGGCUGCAUGGUCUGCUCCUUGUGCUACUCCUUGUCCUGCAUGGAAGCCAACUUCAACAGUGCCACCAUAUACUCAAAUUUUGGAAUUAUUGUCCCCCGUGCCAUCGAUGUCAACAUAAUAAUACGUCAACUGGAUUGUUACUUCCGAACUUCCAAGGGGAGCCAUAGCAGUCAAAUUGCAGAGGCAUGAAGGAAUGGUUCCUGUGAUAUUGUUGAGAGAAAGAUCCAAUACUUGAAGAAACUGUUGGCAACAUAAAGUUGAAUGUAUGUCUCCAUUAAACUCAUUCGAUCAUAGACAAAGAAAAAUCAAAUUCUCCAGUCUUUCUCCUAUCCAUGGUGGAAUGAUUCGACUAAAAUUGUUAUCCUUUUGUCUGUUGCAACAAUAAUAUGUCAUUGUCUUGUUCUUUUCUUUGAUCUGAUUAUUGUGCGUGGGUUGUGGAAAACUAAUAAAUGAGAGAAUUAAGUUACAUGCUCUCAUUCAAUUAAACUGGUUUAUCAAAUAAAAAAUAAGUUUAACUCCUACAUUCUUCGAGUUUGAAAUUAAAAUUAUUUGUGAUACUAUUUUUUAAAUUUGAAAAAUUGAUUAAGUUCAAAAAUAACUUGAGCCAAUCAUUAAGAUAUUUGAUUCCGAAAUAAUUAGUUCAGUACUUCAUAUGUUGUCACCAUAGUUUAAUAUAUAUUUGAGGUUAUUGGAAUUUAAGAAUCCAGAACUGUUACAAUUUGACCAACCAUGCAACUGUUACAGCCUUGCCCCUUGGUGCAUGCAAAAUUUGCUCGAAUUUAGUUCUUUUGUUAUGUCGUUUGGUUGAAAAUGAUAGGUGCUGAUUGACAUAAUCAGUUUGAGUACAAGUUAAGUUUUACUAGUUUCCAAGUUAUUAGUGGGAGUAGUUGUGUAUUUGGUAGAUUUUUAUCACUUAAGUGGAUUGUUUUCUUGAUUAAUUGAUAAGCUGAUAGUUUCAUACUUUCUAUGCUGCACGUUUGUGUUUCUUUGUUCUCUAUUCUUCUUUCACAAAACCACUAACAAUUGGUAUCUAGAGCUCCCAUGGUUAGCCAUUGUGGUAAAAUUGUUGAGGCAUGAUGGAAUGCUUCCUGAUAUAUUGUUGAGAGAAAGAUCCAAUACUUGAAGAAAUUGUAGAUGACGUAAAGUUGAAAGUAUGUCACCAUGAAACUUAUUUGAUCGCAAACAAAGAACAAUCAGACUCUCUAGUCUCGCCCCUAUCCACGGUGGAAUGAUUCCAAUUAUUUUGUUCUCCCCCAAAUCCAAGAGUUUCAAUCUGGAACAAUUUUUUAAGGAUUCAGGUAUUUCACCAUACAAACUAGUGUUCCUUAAACGCAAUGAUCCCAACUGCUCAAUUGUUCUCAGAGAAUUGGGGACUGCCCCUAACAAAUUAUUGUUCUCUAAAUUGAUAGUAGAUAAUUGCUGGUAUGUAGUCUAACAAUCUGGAAUCUGUCCCGAUAACAAAUUGUUAGAGAGAUCAAGAUAAGACAUAACUAUUCUUCUCUGUGCAUAAGAAAGACAACGAUCUAUUGAACAUGUUGUUGGACAGAUCCAACACUGUCGAUUUAGACAAGAAUUGAGGUAUGGGGCCAUAAAAAAGAUUCGAACUCAAAUCCGUUGAAGGGUAAGUACCAAAUUUUAGCGCAGAUUUGGAACUCUCUCACUGAUUUGGUUGAAGGAUAGGUUUAAAAACAGGAGUCUUGAAGGCAAAUUCCAAAACCAAUCGGGGAUGACGUCUGAAAUGUUGGAAUUGGAGAUUUAUAGAUGGAAGAAACUCUUUCAGUAAGAAGUUGCAGCCAGUAGUCAUAUUCUGGGAAAGAAUCUAUAUGUAAACCAUGAAAAAUUGGGAGCAACUUUGACCUGAAAACGUUGCCAGGAAAUGGAAUUUGAUCUGUUUAUGUGGGACGAGUGUACUUAUACUAAAGAGUGUCAGAAAAUGGCAUGUUCGAAACUAAUUUUUGGCCGAGAAUGGCUUUUAAUAGUUAGAGUUGCAGGAAAUGGUCAUAUUCUGGGAAAGUGUUGGGUUUUUUAUAGCAGCAAAAUAAGAGAACAAUACAGAGAACAAAGGAGGAAGAAACAAAGAACAAUUUACUUACUCACAAACGUGCAGCAAGGAAGCAAUCUGCUUUACACAACUGAUAUGCUUGCUCAUUCAAUAUGAAAACAAUACAUAUAUAAUCAAAAUACAUCACCAAAUAUUCAACUAACCCCACUAAUCAGCAUUAGGACUAUUAAAAUAUUACUUGUACACAUGGAUAAGCAGAUUUAUCAGCUCAAUCAUCCCAUCAAAACAUCAACAUCAAAGUUCAUUUUCAACCAAACUAAAUUACAUUGCAACUAAAACAGAUAUUUGUUGCUAUAACGUGCACAAUUGCUGCAGCGUGCAUACAAGCUGCAUGCACUCAACAAAAUCAUCAUAGUAUUAUGUACUUUAACAAAAACAUAACAGCAGCAUGGUUGGCCAUUUUUCAACAGAAAGAAUCUACAUGUAGCUCAUGAAAAACUGUGAACAAUUUUGACCUGAAAACGUUGCAAGGAAAUGGAAUUUGAUCUGUCUAUGUGGGAAAGUUUCAGUAAGAGUGUAUUUAUACACUCUAAUACACCUUCAUUUAUUGCUUGUUUCAUUAAGAAACAUCUGUUUCUUAAUUUACUUCGUUUCGCUAUGAUAGAGAAUGAACUUUGUUGGUUCAUUUGGGAAUUUUGUUUCCUUGAAUUCACUUUUUGAUUCAUUGAUGUCUCUAAGCUACUUAUCUCAUCUUGUAUUCAUUCUGGCAGGCUGAUGGCUAGAUUUUUUUGUGGACUUUAGAUAUUAUAUAUCGAUACAGCAACAGUGAGUAUCACUUGAAAUUAAACCUUAUUUUACAAAUGUUUUGAUAUACCAAAAUAAUAACACACACAAAAAAAGUAGUCCGUAUAUAUAUUCACGGGAAAUUAAAUAUAUAUUCAAGAUUACACAACUAUGAUAAAGCACACAAUAUAUUAAAACUAGCAUAUGACUAGGAAGCAGACCCCAACGUGUAGGGAGAGAAAAUGGAGAGCAUUUUAUACCUUAGUCUUUCAGUCGAAGUCUUUGCUGCAAUUUGACUGUCUCCAAUGCCAUUGUCAAUCUGAUCCAAUCUUCUAGUUUAUUCACUAGCCGAAAGUAUUUAUGUCUCCAAGACCUGCUAAUAAUUAACGAACCGAAAACACCCCAAAAUCCAACAAGAAAUCCAACUGUCAUUCCAGUAAAAAACCUGUAAUAAAAACCCACAAAACAUUUGUUGCCAAGUUUUUACAUUUAUGAGGGAUGAAGGUACAUCAUUUGAAAAAACUUAUUGCUCCUCAAACUCACUGAUGGACCCUGCUCUAUCAAAUCCAUUGAGCUUGCUAUUAUUCCCAAUAAAUUAUCAUUUGAAAUACUAAUGAUUUAAUGUCGCUGUAGCUGUAGUCAGAAUUUCAAACCUCAUUAUAUAUGAUGAAGUUGGUCAGUAUGAAGCAAACACUCGACAGCAGGCAGGCCAUGAAGACCAAGCUAUGUAGGAGCUGCUGAUGCAAGCUUAUUUUGCUCAUUUUGUAAUUUCUAGUCAAUGAAAUGUAAUUUAGUUCAUUUAGAACUAUGUUAGGUAGAUGAUUGAUGUAAUUUUCUAUCAUAUGAGCUGUUAAUUCAACUUUGCUUGUAUGCACAAGUUAAUUACUUCAAGUUUCAAUGUUUAGUGGUGUUAGGUAACCAUUAGGUGAAUGUUUACUGUUUUUGACAAGCUUAGAGCUUGAUUUAUGUAUUGGCAUUUUGCCACUGUUAAUUCUAUGAAUGAAUCAAGUUUUGUUCAUCAAAUACUCUCCAUUUUUCUAGCUUUUUCUUUUUUUUCUUUUGCUCGAAUUUAUUUGUUUGCUCAGCAAGCAUCGAGGCUUGUUGCACAAGACACUUGCCGAGUCUGUUAUUUCUGUUAGUGCACCAAAAAUUGGUAUCUAGAGCCUAUUUCUUAAGGGACCUGGUAUUCAAUGAAUGGCUUCAUCAAACUUUUCACCAGCUACACCAUAAGUUUUCAAUGGGGAAGGCUAUCACAUAUGAGUGGUCAAAAUGAAGACCUACCUGCAGGCUUUCGAUCUGUGGGAGGUGGUCAACUUUGAUGUUGAACCAGAGCCACUUAGAGCUAAUCCAACAGUGGCUCAGAUAAGGCAGCAUGCUGAUGAGAGGACCAAGAGGCACAAGGCCAUGUCCUGCAUACAGAACUCAGUGUCAGAUGUGAUUUUCACAAGGAUUAUGGCUUGUGAAACACCAAAGCAGGCCUGGGAUAAGUUGAAAGAGGAGUUUCAAGGGACAGAGAGGACAAGGCAUCAACAGUUGUUAAAUUUAAUGAGAGAAUUCGAGAACUUGAAGAUGAAGGAAGAAGAAAGUGUCAAGCAAUAUUCUGACAGGAUUAUGGCUGUGGUAAACAGCAUAAGGCUCCUUGGUGAGCAGUUCAGUGAAGCUGGGAUAGUGGAGAAGGUGAUUUCAACAUUACCAGAGAGGUAUGAGGUAAAAAUCUCAUCUCUCGAAGACUUAAGGGACUUGACCAGUAUUCCCUUGACAGAGCUUAUCAAUGCUCUUUAUGCACAAGAGCAGAGAAGAGCUAGCAGACUGGAGGAGCACCAGGAAGGUGCCUUUUAGGCAAAAACCAAUACUGCCUAUAAAGGCAAGAAGACCUGGAAAAAUAGGCCUAAGCCUGAUGCUACAAGGGGCAAUGACCAACCUUGCAGGCAUUGCAAGAGGCCUAGUCAUCCAGAAGAAAAAUGUUGGUUCAAUCCAGAUGCUGUAUGCCAGUAUUGCAAAAAGAAGGGUCAUGCUGAAAGAGUCUGCAAAAGCAAGGCCAAAUCAAGGCAGAAUCAGUUUCAACAGAUGAAAGCUGAGGCUCGAGUAGCCAAGGAGGACAGUGACCAAGAGGAGUAAGUUUUUACUGUGUCAUGCUCAGCUGUACAGGAGAGGCUCUCAUCUGGUUGGCUUCUAGACAGUGGAUGCACCAAUCACAUGACACCUGAUGCUGCAAUCUUCAAAUCUUUAGACAGAAACUGCAGAACCAAAAUCAAAAUAGGUAAUGGCCACUUUAUUCAAGCUGAAGGCAAGGGUGAUGUGCUGAUAUGCACUCCCACAGGUGCCAAAGUGAUUUCAAAUGUGCUCCUGGUGCCUGAAAUUGACAGAAACCUGCUCAGUAUAGCUCAACUGCUGGAGAGAGGUUAUUCUGUGAUGUUCAAAGAUAACCAAUGCCAAAUCAGUGAUCCAAGUGGAUCCAAGCUGAUGGCAGUCCCUAUGACUGAUAAGAGCUUUGUAGUUGACUGGACAAUAGAGUCAGACACUGCCUACGCAGCUACAACAGUUGAAUCCAAGCUUUGGCAUUAAAGGCUUGGACAUGCCAAUUUCAGAUCAAUGGCUCAAAUGGUCAGAGAAGGAUUAGCUGAAAACUUCACCAACAUAGUGAAGCAUGAUGAUGUGUGUGAAGUAUGUCAGCUAGGCAAGCAGGCUAAACUUCCAUUUCCCUCAAAUCAAGCCUGGAGAGCCUCUGAAAGAUUGCAAUUGGUGCACACUGAUGUGUAUGGCCCCAUGAAGACUGAUUCAUUAAGUGGAAACAGGUAUUUCAUAUUGUUCAUUGAUGAUUUCUCGAGAUAUUGUUGGCUUUACUUCUUGAAACAGAAAUCAGAGGUGGCCUCUGUGUUUUGGAAGUUCAAAACUGCUGCUGAAAUUGAAACAGGUUGCAAGCUAAAGACCAUAAGGUCUGAUAAUGGGACUGAGUAUACCUCAGCUCAGUUCCAAGCCUUUUGUGAUAAGGCAGGCAUCAAAGAUCAACUUACCAACACUUAUACACCUCAGUCAAAUGGUGUGAGUGAAAGGAAGAAUAGGAGUUUGAUGGAUAUGGCUAGGUGCCUGGUGAUUCAGAAGAAACUGCCUAAAGCUCUAUGGGCAGAAGCAGUUAACACUACAACAUACAUUCAAAACAGGCUUCCAACCAAAGCUUUGGACCAGAAGACUCCAUUCGAGGCCUGGUUUGGAUUCAAACCAUCACUGGCUCAUCUGAAGGUCUUUGGAUGCAUCUGUUAUGCACAUGUACCUGCUGUUAAAAGGGACAAAUUGUCUGAAAGGGCUCGACCUGGUAUUCUGAUGGGCUACAGCACUGUCAAGAAGGGUUUUAGGAUCUUGGAUCCUUCAACAAACAAAUUGUCAGUCAGCAGGGAUGUGGUAUUUGAUGAAAGGUCAUGUUGGAACUGGGAAAGACAUGAACCUGAGGAAGUUUCAGAAGAACUUGCAGCAGAUCAAGCUGAGCCAGACCAAAAUGGUCCUGAAAUGGACAUUGAUGAUAAAACAGUCAGGGGAAUAAGACCAUUGACUGAGAUUUAUGAAAGGGCUCAUGUAGCCAUAGCUGAACCAAGCAACUUUGAAGAGGCUGAAGCUCAGCAAGGGUGGAAGCAGGUAAUGGCUGAGGAGAUCAGCAUGAUUGAGAAGAACCAGACCUAGAAAUUGGUUGAAAGGCCAGUCAAAAAGAAGGUAAUUGGGGUGAAAUGGGUGUACAAAGCCAAGCAAAAUGCUGAUGGAACCUUGAACAAACUAAAAGCAAGGCUAGUUGUCAAGGGGUUCAGUCAAAAAUAUGGCCUGGACUAUCUGGAGACCUUUGCACCAGUGGCCAGGCUUGACACCAUCAGACUGCUGAUUACCUUAGCAGCACAGCUCGAAUGGAAGAUCCAUCAACUAGAUGUGAAGUUAGCUUUUUUGAAUGGCUUCUUAGAUGAAGACAUUUAUGUUGAUCAACCACAAGGGUUUGAGAUAGUUGGCAAAGAGCACAUGGUCUAUAAACUGAAGAAGGCCCUAUAUGGCUUAAAACAGGCUCCAAGGGCCUGGUAUUCCAGAAUCGAUGGCUACUUGACUAAUUUGGGAUUUUUUCGAAGCAAGAGUGAACCAACACUGUAUGUCAAGAAGGAAGGGGCACAAACACAGCUCAUUGUGUCCCUAUAUGUUGAUGACCUGCUGGUGACAGGAGGAGAUCAAACAAUGCUGGUCAAUUUCAAGACCAAGAUGCAGGAGGUGUUUGAAAUGUCUGAUCUAGAGGAGAUGUCCUAUUUUCUUGGAAUGGAGGUGUCACAAACACAAAAUGGGAUAUUCCUAAGUCAGAAAAGCUUUGCCACAAAGAUUCUGACCAAGUUCUCCAUGCAGAACAACAAGGCAACUAAAACUCCUAUUGCUGUUAGAGAGAAACUAUCGAGCCAAGGUGAAUUUGAGAGAGUUUGUGAAACUACCUACAGAAGUCUAGUUGGUUGUUUGCUAUACUUAACUGCCACUAGGCCAGACAUAAUGUAUGCUGUAGGAUUGCUCUCAAGAUUCUUGCAUUGCUGCAAUGAGAAGCAUUUUCAGGCUGCAAAAAGAGUGCUCAGAUAUAUCAAAGGCACUUUAAGCUAUGGUUUGAAGUAUAGCAAGGAAGAAAAUCUGAAGCUGGUUGGCUAUACUGAUAGUGACUAGGCUGGCUCGAUAGAUGAUAUGAAAAGCACCUCAGGGUAUACUUUUAACCUUGGUUCAGCCAUGUUCUGCUGAAGCUCGAAGAAGCAAAGCCUGGUGGCUCAAUCUACUGCUGAAGCAGAGUAUGUGGCAGCAGCAAGUGCUGUCAACCAAGCCAUUUGGCUAAGGAAAAUCUUUGCCGAUUUGAAUGUACAUCAAAGAGAAGCAACAGAGAUCUUUUGUGACAACCAAUCUACUGUUGCAAUUGCUAAAAAUCUAGUGUUCCAUGGAAGAACAAAGCAUUUCAGCAUUAAAUUGCAUGUUGUUCGAGAAAUGGAGCAAGCACAAGAGAUGAAGCUAAUUCAUUGUAAUUUAGAGGAUCAACUUGCUGACUGUAACACCCCUUAACCCCGAACCGUCGUCGGAAUAGGGUUACGAGGCAUUACCGAAAGUAUCAAACAGUUUACAACAAAUCUGCCCAAUCGCGCAGCAGUUACUAAAUUACUUAUAAUUUUAGCUACGGAACUCAAAAUUUAAUUCCAUAAAUUUUCCCUGAAACUAGACUCGUAUAUCUUCCUACCAUAAAAAUUUCAUAAUUUUUGGUCCAGCCAAUUAGUACAGUUUAUUAGUUAAAGUAAGCCCUGUUUCACCAAUUGACUGCCCUGACCUCUUGUCACUAAAAAUAAAAUUUCUCAUUGUAGGAUUGUCAUAUGAAGUUAUUACUUGUUUCUAGAGAAAAUAGACUCAAUAAGGAUUCUAUACAUAUAAACUACAACUCAUAAUUAUUUUUUUACCAUUUUUAGUGAUUUUCUAAACUUAGAAUAGGGGACUCCAAAAACAGUUCUGACCCUGUCUCACUAAAAUUCACAUAUCUUAAAAUAUAAAAUUCUUUUUGCUAAACCGUUAUUUUUAUAUGAAAAUAGACUUAACAAGCUUUAAUUUAAUAUAUCAUUCACCCUCUAAUUCAUUUUAUACUAUCCUAGGUGAUUUUUCAAAGUUACGUCACUGUUGCUGCCUGAAUUCUGUUUCUUUGCAAAGUUUACCCUUUCUUGAUUUUCAUACUUAACCAUUUUAAAAGCCAAACAUUAUCACAUGCUCACACAUCUUUCUUUAGCAAUCUCAUAGAUACAACAUUCAAAAUGACUAAUCCCUAUACAUCACUUAGGUUUAUACAUUACCUAGGUACAUGUCACAUUAUCAACAGAAAGGUACAUCACUAAAAUGUCUCUGAGGUCGGGAUUACUUUGGAUGCUGGAUCGAACACUAGUUUUUUUACUAACCUGCGCACGGAAACAACCGUACGCUGAGUAUGGGUAUACUCAGUGGUAUUACCAUAAUUCAAAUUAAUAACAUUAAUCGAUAAAUUAUAAAUAUUUUAUUUAUGUCUACAAUUAUUCAUUAAUUAUCUCAUACAUUAAAUCAACUUGAUAAUUAAUAACAAUAAGCAAUAAUUCAAAUCUUAUAUUUAAUUGUAUUCAUACCUUAUUUCACUAUCUCAAUUCCGUGGGAUUUUUUCUUAUAGUUCAUUUCAAUUCAUAUACAAUUCAUUUCAUUUAAUUUAUAUUCAAUAUCAAUUUUAUUGCAAUUUUUACUCACUAAUAUCAUAUAACAAAAUUUACUCUUUAUCAUAUUAUGAACUUUGGGUUCAUAUAUUUAAAUCUCAUAUCUCGAUUUCCAAUUCACAUAUCAAUUCACAAUUUCACUUUCUCAUUUCUUUCCAUAUCCCAAUCAGUCACACUUAUUCAAAUUUUCUCAUUUCAAUUAUUUACCCCUAUUAACAAGACUCGGACCUUGGCGGAUACACGGAUCCAACCAAACACACCAGAAUGGCACCCAGUGCCUCAUCGGAUAGUUCGAAGCAAUAGUUGACACCCAGUGUCUCAUCGGCAAAGCCGAAGUAAGUUGGUACCCAGUACCUCAUCGAAUCUAUCCGAAGUAACAGUAUGACACCCAGUGUCUCAUCGACUCAAGGUCGAAGUAUCCCUGAACACUUCCAAUCCUAUGGCAUGCCAACUAUAUCCGACUCAGCCCGACUAGUUAAUAGGGUUUCCGAAUCACAUUUCAAUUCAAUCACUUUCUCAUACUUUCAAUUCAAAUCAUUCCAAUUUAAUCACCAUUUGAUUCAAUACAUUUUUCUAUUUCAAAUUCACUUCCCACUUUCAAAUCAAUGUACAGUUCAGUACCAAUACAUAUUUCACAAAUCAUACUUCGAUUCGAAUCAAACCACUUUUCAGUCAAUACUCAAUUCACGUAUUCACACUUAUUCAUAAUUUAAUUCACUUUUAUUCAAUUCAUAUUUUUAAUUCAUUCAAUUAAAUAUCGAUAUUCUCCUUAUUUUUAUUUACUAAACAUAUUAUUCAAAAUUCAACAAUUACUAUCAAUAAAUUCAAUAUCAAUACGUAUAUAUAUAUAUUUCAUUCGAUUCAAUCAUGAUACUCACCUCAAUUUUCUUAUCAUGUAUAUUAAUUUAAAUUUUAACGAUUAAUAAUUAAAUUCGAAUUAUGGUAAUACUAACCGGAAUUUCUCUCGAGUCACUUCUUGUCCACUUUCCCCUUUCCUUUCUCGGACAAUAACUCGUGCACGACAUUAGCUACGUAAUUAAACAAUUAAAAAUCAUUAAUACACAAUUUCAUUAAAACAUUUCCCGUAUACCUAAACUUUACCCAAAUUCUAAUUUAAUCCCUUAUCAAUACUAAUUUUAUUUUUCCAUUCUAACUCUAUAUUCUCUCUUAAUUCUUACUAUAAACUCAGUUUAAUUCUUCAAUUUCCCCAUAAAUCCCUAAUUUCGGGAUUCUUUCAAUUUAAUCCCUAUCAGUUCAAAACUUAUAUUUUAUUUUACAAAUCAAUCUUUUACUAACUUCUAACUUAAAAUUCAAUCAUUUUAACCUCUAGUUCAUCAAUUAAUUCAACAUAACUCAUGUCUAACAAUCUACUAACUUUCAAAAUAUCAACAUAAAUCAAGUAGUAUUUAUCUCUAGGAUUCCAAAAACUCAAAAAUUAUAAGAAAAAGACUUAAUUUGACUUACCAAUUGAGCUUGGAACCUUAAAACCUUAAAUUUCCCUUUUUCUUUUUCUUUCUUUCUUUCUUUCUUUCCUUCCUUCUCUGCCCGUUUUGCUCUCUGUUUCUUUCUCUGUUUCGUCUCUUCUAUUCUGUUUCUUUUCUUUCUUUUUCUAUUCUUUCUUUUGUUUUAUGUAUAUAUAUAAUAUAAUAUAAUAUAUUAAUAAUAAUAUAAUAUAAAAACAUAAUCAUUACUAUAAUAUAAGAAUAUUUUUUUAACACAUAAAAAUCUCAGAUUUUUAUACUUAUGCCGCCUCAACUUUGGAAAAAGGCAUAAUUGCCUAUUUGGUCCUUUUAACUUUUCUUUAAUCUAUAAUUAAACUUUUAUCCCUAUUGCAAUUUAAUCCUUUUUCAUAAUUAACUAUCGAAACGUUAAAAUUUCUUAACGAAACUUUAAUAUUAUCCUAUUGACACUCUGUAAAUAUUUAUAAAAAUAUUUACGGCUCAGUUUAUGAUAUCGAGGUCUCGAUACCUCGUUUUUGACCCAAUUUACCUAAUAAUUUCUUUUAAAUCACAAA
rnacentral:lncRNA from 1 species